AGUGAACGCUGGCGGCAGGCCUAAUACAUGCAAGUCGAACGGCAGCACAGCAGAGCUUGUUCUGUGGGUGGCGAGUGGCGGACGGGUGAGGAAUACGUGGGAAUCUGCCCAGUCGUGGGGGAUAACGUAGGGAAACUUACGCUAAUACCGCAUGCGCCCUUCGGGGAAAGCCGGGGACCUUCGGGCCUGGCGCGAUUGGAUGAGCCCACGUCGGAUUAGCUAGUUGGCGGGUAAAGGCCCACCAAGGCGACGAUCCGUAGCUGGUCUGAGAGGAUGAUCAGCCACACUGGAACUGAGACACGGUCCAGACUCCUACGGGAGGCAGCAGUAGGGAAUAUUGGACAAUAGGCGCAAGCCUGAUCCAGCCAUGCCGCGUGAGUGAAGAAGGCCCUCGGGUUGUAAAGCUC
rnacentral:rRNA from 1 species